rnacentral:rRNA from 1 species
UGUAAGCGUAUACCAAAGUUGUUGCAGUUAAAACGCUCGUAGUCGGAAUUUGGCAGUUCCGGAUGUGUGCACGUCGUGUGCGCACUUCGCGGGGAUUGCUUUUGUGGUCUUGCGUAGGAUGAGGCACUUUUAUUAGUGAACGUCCUCGCAACCACUUUUUACUGUGAGAAAAUCAGAGUGCUCAAAGCAGGCAUUUGCCGUGAAUGUAUUAGCAUGGAAUAAUAGAAUAGGACUUGGUUCUAUUUUGUUGGUUUGUUGGGACUGAGUAAUGAUUAAGAGGGACAGUUGGGGGCAUUUGUAUUUCGGUGCUAGAGGUGAAAUUCUUAGAUUACCGAAAGACAAACUGCUGCGAAAGCGUCUGCCAAGGAUGUUUUCAUUGA